rnacentral:tRNA from 1 species
GGGUGUAUAGCUCAGUGGUAGAGUGCUUGCUUAGCAUGCAUGAGGUCCUGGGUUCAGUCCCUAGUACCUUCA